GACGUUACCAACUGUCAACACACAUUGAUGGAUAUGGAUGAAGUAGACACUCUACUUUUUUCACGUCCCUCCGCAGAGCCACUUCCGCCAUUCGAUACGGACAAAGUAGACAGUCUACUCUUUUCACGUCCUUCUUCCGCAGAACCGCUUCCGCCAUUCGAUACGGAGGCUUUUACUUCGAAUCUACGAGCUGCACUCUAUUCGUGUCAGGCGCAGAACAGUCGGAGAUUACAAUGUUACGGGAGUGAAGCUGAGCAUAGCCGCGCUGGUCAUACUCCAGACGAGGUUCGUGGAAAAUAUCGAGCAUUUCAAGAUGAAUUGAAAAACCUCGAUGCUUUGCCCACUCCGAGUUCCUGCGGUUUCUCGGAUUCCUUUAACCCACCUCAUCUGACUGCUGAAACGGCCCGAUCUUUGACUCCCUCGACAGCAGAUCAUGGCUCGACAUCCGAUACACAAACGACGGACGCAAUUACACCCGCGAAACUGAAACACGCGUCUUUGCAGAAGAUUACAAAGCUAAGCAAUGGGCAGAAGUUUCGUCGAAUAAAAAGUCAAGAGAUAGCUUUAAAGCGGCCUCUCACACGAGCAAGUCUAGCGAAGUGGAAGAAGAAAACACAACUUACCAAUUCGCGCCUAAUUAUCUUCAUAAUUGUCCAACACAAGACCUGAAGAAGCUUCGCAGAUCUUCAAUGCAUGGUGGCCCAGACUUAUCAGAUCUUAGAGGGCGACAAUUCCCAGAGGAGAUUCUGAAUAUCCGUCCAGAUCACAGAUCGGUUUCAUCAAGGAAUUCAGUCAUCGCCUGGCGGCGCUUUCGCAUUUCCAAGUCGUUCAAGGUUUGAUCGAAUACGAUAGACUGCUUUGCGGCUACAAUCAGCAGUACGCGCAAUCCGAGAUACAGGCUCAUCACUUCUAAGCAUGUCGCAUAUGAGCUGAACUGUUGAUUGUGCAAGGGGUGGGGCCAUCCUAUACACUACAAUAAUACAAGGCUGUAUUAUGUUCUAGUGACUGGUGUAAGAAGAGACUGAGAAAUGGCAAGGUACGGGGUACUACAUCUAGGCAGCGAUACAUGUAAUUUACGAGUGUAUCAAAUGUGCGAAAGCGCAAUACCUUAGGGAGAAAAUUACACAAGCCAGGGUUAAUCCGGACCUAGCCGUAUAUAGACUAGUAUAUUCUUAGCUCCGUUUCAGGAGAAAGAGAAGAGAGUGUUAGUUGUUACUCUGAAGGUGCAAACUACUGUACAGUACUCGGCAAUCUAUCAUCUGUCUAGAUCAUGACCCUAUUGCCGCUACUAUCUUGAAUGAAGUGUACAAAGAAACAAAGAUGGGUUCCUCAAUGCUACUACCAAUUGUUGCUCUACCAAUUUUUUUAACUUAUUU
rnacentral:lncRNA from 1 species